CCGUCUGAACCACGCACGAGCAUCCAUUUCCAUCUCCAUUUCCUAAUGCUCUCUUCCUCUCUACGAUUUCCAGAAGUUCUCAUCACCAUUUGCCAUUUCAGAAACCACACUACAUUCUCUACUCCAGCUCAAACAUCAACAGAGACAACUGUAGCAACGUAUGGAGACACCGGAGCAGGUUCAAACCAACUGCGAAAUUGCGAUUUUAUCCGGCGAUUUCGUAGUUCUUUCCUUCAAUUUCGAGAUUGAUUUGUCUGUUAAAGGACGAGGAACAUACCAAAUUAUAUAGCAUGCCCAGAGAGUGUAUUCUGUAUAUACACACUUGUCAAAAGUGUCAUUAAAGGAUCUCAAGACUAUCUAUGCUGAAUUAGCCUGCAUAUAUUUUAAUUCCCAUGUUGUGACAGGUCUGUGUAUUAAUACCCCUAUUGCUUUUCUCCAAAUCUAAAUAUAGUGUUUCAACUACAUUUUAGGUUGUGCAAAUAGGAGGCUUGCGUUAGUGCUGAAAUCUCAGAGAUUAAACGAAGAAGGUGGAUUGAGUUGUUGCUAUUUGUGUUGUAUUUAUAGAAGGAUUAUGCAGCGGAUGGAAUUCUAAAAAGUAUACAUCAAGUAUACAACAUUAAUGACACUAAAUGAUGGUGUUGCACUGGAUAUUGAAACGCCAAAAAUGAAGGCUGCUUAUAGAGUUCCAAUUCCUUAGUA